AAUUAAGGCUGUCAGAAUACAUAACACAUGCGAGUUAAUAUUUGGGUAUUAAUUUAAUGAAAUUAUCAUUAUUAGCGUACAGGUGAGUAAUAAAUAAGAACUUACCUUUUUUUAUUGGAUCUAUAAAAAUUAGAGAGGCUUAUUUAAGAAUAGGUAGUUGGUAAGGUAAAGGCUUACCAAGCCGAUGAUCUUUAGUUGGUCUUUGUGGAUGAUCAACCACAUUGGGAAUGAGAUAAUGCCCAGGCACUUUUUUGGUGGCAGCAGUGGGGAAUAUUAUACACUAGGAGAAAUCCUGAUAUAGUAAUUCUGAGUGAUUGAAGAAGGUCUUUAUUGAUUGUAAAAAUCUUUCAUCUAGUAUUAAAAUAGAUAAUUAGAAAUAGAAAUCCUGUCAAAUUUUUGUGCCAGCCGCCGCCGUAACAC
rnacentral:rRNA from 1 species